CGAGCGUCUACGUCUGCGUCCCGGCCGGCCCCGACCCCCGGGGGCACGAUUCGGCGCCAAAUGGGUACGGGCCAGGAGCAAGGGAACGCGGGGGGUGCAGGGCACCCGAGGUGAUUUUCGCCGGUUCUCACGACACCUCUCGUUCGUGCGGCGCGGAGAGCAUGGCGGCGUGGCGCCGUGUCGCGCUGUCGGGCAGGCGAGUGGAGUGGGCACCCGGG
rnacentral:lncRNA from 1 species